GUCAGCAACCCUAAGUCUUCUCUUCUACAGGUUAACCAUCCCCAUUUUCUAUCUUCUAAAUAAACUGCUACAUGGUCUGCCACUGAAUUUCAUCAUUAUUCAGAGGAAGGGUGUUCUGGAAAUACUAGCACUUUUGUUGUGAGGACUACUGAACCCUUUUCAGGACGCACAUAUAUCUAUACAGGUGUCUACCUAACACUAACCUAUGGCUCCAAGAUGCUCCAGUCUCUUCAGUAGCCACCACACCUCAGUAAAACCAUCUUGGCAGAUUAAGCUAACCCUGUUGAGUAUAAUCAACAAGCUGGAAAUCCACUGGUACAAGGGAUGCUGUUUAUUGAGUGAAGCCAAGAUCUAAAACAUGGCAUUGUUGUUCAACUCCUAGGAUUCAUUUGGUGCAAGGAACUGAGUACUAAACUUUGCGUCAGGAAAAUAAAGGUUCAUACAUUA